GAACGCACAUUGCACCUCAGAGUAUUCUUUGAGGUAUACCUGUUCGAGCGUCGUUUAGACCAUAAGGCUUUGCCUUGCGUUGAUUACUUGGAUGUUUUUUUAAGCAGCAGCAAUGUUGUAUCCAAUAAUCUAAACAUGUUGGCGUCGUUAGUUUGACCAAGACACACACAAGUGAAACUAGAUAAACUAUUUUGCGAUUAGCCUUGAACUAUCUAAUUUGCGCAAGCAGAUUGUAGGUUCGACCUCGGAUCAGGUAAGACUACCCGCUGAACUUAAG
rnacentral:misc_RNA from 1 species